AUGCCUGUGAAGACAAACCCGAUGCAAACUCGUUUGAUGCAAGUGUUUACUCGUGAUGCAGUUAAGGAGAAGAAAGUUCUUUUGAAUAGGAAGAUGUUAGAUCAAAAUCCUAAUGGCACACAGAGGCAUAGCCCACGUGUGAAAGCUAGUUCCCAACCUCGUAAUAGCAAAGCUGAUGGGGAUAGUGUUGUUGUGAAGAUUGGUCCAAGCAAACUUGGUGGCUCCCCUGUCCGUCGUAGUCCACGGGUUUUGACAAAUAAGAAGCCUUCUUCACCUCCUCUUCUAGAGCGCUCUUUGUUGAAAGAAAGUAAUAAGCGUAAAGUUCAUCCUGCGAAGGUGACCAAAGGUGUGAAGAAGCAUGCUUGUGUCGAAGCUGAAGAUGUUGUAUCUGAAGAAGAUGAUAUCGAAGUUGAUUCUGAAGAUGAAUUUGUAGUGCCUGUUAGCGUUAUGAGUCCGGUCAAGCCAGUGGGAGGCAAGGCCGAAAAAGUUGCCUUGGAUGAAGCUAACCAAUGGAAAUUGAACUUGAUUGUGCGAUGUUCGUUGGAAGAGGUUGAAGCUUGUGCUAAAUUGCUUGAGAGUCGGGUGAAGUCUGACAUUUCCCGCCCUCUGAUGGGAGUUUUGUACCUGAGGAUAGAUCCUGAUACGAUGACUCUUGACAUGGGUGAGGCUAAUAAGAAGCUUUGCAUCAUUAGCGAUGGUAUAUAG
rnacentral:rRNA from 1 species